rnacentral:rRNA from 1 species
GAUGAACGCUGGCGGCGUACCUAAUACAUGCAAGUCGAGCGAACAGACGAGGAGCUUGCUCCUCUGACGUUAGCGGCGGACGGGUGAGUAACACGUGGAUAACCUACCUAUAAGACUGGGAUAACUUCGGGAAACCGGAGCUAUUACCGGAUAAUAUAUUGAACCGCAUGGUUCAAUAGUGAAAGACGGUUUUGCUGUCACUUAUAGAUGGAUCCGCGCCGCAUUAGCUAGUUGGUAAGGUAACGGCUUACCAAGGCAACGAUGCGUAGCCGACCUGAGAGGGUGAUCGGCCACACUGGAACUGAGACACGGUCCAGACUCCUACGGGAGGCAGCAGUAGGGAAUCUUCCGCAAUGGGCGAAAGCCUGACGGAGCAACGCCGCGUGAGUGAUGAAGGUCUUCGGAUCGUAAAACUCUGUUAUUAGGGAAGAACAAAUGUGUAAGUAACUAUGCACGUCUUGACGGUACCUAAUCAGAAAGCCACGGCUAACUACGUG